rnacentral:rRNA from 1 species
GGCCUUUUGAAUUUAAUAUAAGGUCUGACCUGCCCAGUGAUAAUUUUAACGGCCGCGGUAUAUUGACCGUGCAAAGGUAGCAUAAUCAUUAGUCUUUUAAUAGAGGGCUGGAAUGAAAGGUUUAACGAGGAACUGACUGUCUCAUUUUAUUUGUUUUAAAAUUUAAUUUUUUAGUUAAAAAGCUAAAAUUUUAUUGGUAGACGAAAAGACCCUAUAGAGCUUUACAUUUAAUUAUAUAAAUGUUUUUAUAUUAAUAUUUUUAUUCAAUUAUGUGUUUUGUUGGGGUGACAAAAAUAUAUAAUUAACUUUUUUAUUUAAUUAACCAUUGAUUUAUGAUUAUUAGAUCCAUUACUAUUGAUUAUUAGAUUAAGUUACCUUAGGGAUAACAGCGUAAUCCUCCUCCAGAGUUCAUAUUUACAGGAUGGGCUUGCGACCUCGAUGUUGGAUUAAGAUAAUAAUUAGGUGUAGCCGCUUAAUUAAUAGGUCUGUUCGACCUUUAAAUUCUU